GGUGCUCCUCUAAAAACAAUAUUUGGAUGAGUAGGUAUGAUUGAUUUGAGUAUCUCAUCAUGUUUAAGUAUGUGCCAGUGUUUUCUUAUUAUUUUUUUAACAUCAUUGCUUUUAUUAUUAAAAUUAAAAAUAACUGGAAGUGGCAUAGUUUCAUUAUUUUCUUUAUUUUUAUAUGUCAGAAGAUCUUUUCGUUCUUUUUGUUUGACUGUAUUAAUUGUGG